CUCAAAGAAGUCUGCCACAUUCAAGUGGGUGAUGUCAAAAUUGUCGUCAGAGACAAAAUUUUUUAGGGCAUUUACUCUUUAGAGAUGCUUUGACAAGGCUCAACCAAAUGCCUUGGUACACGACAAAUUUUCGCCUAGUGCCCUUUUCCACCGCAACGAUAACAUAUAGCUUAUGAACUAUUUGCUUUUGGAUUCUCAUCAUAUCGUGCUUGUGGCAGAGUGACCAACUUCAGGUUGUCAUA
rnacentral:lncRNA from 1 species